CGCCCAGCUGUGUGCCACCGCUGUGCAGGAGCGAGUAGGAGAGGAAACGAAAAGAGGGAAGGGCCCCUUUCAAGCCACCCCAGCCCUUUCUCACUGCUAAGGAAACUGAGGCCAGGCGUGAGAGGAAACUGCUGCACAGGAAAUUCAGACUCCCAGAGUGCUAGGAUUACAGGCAUGUGCUUCUACACCUGGCUUCAGACUGCAACUUCUGACAGAACUAUUCUGAAACUUCAAAGCCUACCUGAGGAGCCUCCAGAGGCAAAGAGCUGCCUCCUUGUGGAGUCUCCAACCACACAGCUUCUUAAGACUAGAUCCAGACCCACUGGGAGAAAAACUGAGGAUUUAACAUUUAGCAAUCCAGGCUCACGCACCCGACAUCUCUAGUGAAGAAUCAGGCCUAACUCAGGAGCUCACAGAUCAUCUCUAAAACU